rnacentral:rRNA from 1 species
AUUGAACGCUGGCGGCAGGCCUAACACAUGCAAGUCGAGCGGAUGAUGGUAGCUUGCUACCUGAUUCAGCGGCGGACGGGUGAGUAAUGCCUAGGAAUCUGCCUGGUAGUGGGGGACAACGUUUCGAAAGGAACGCUAAUACCGCAUACGUCCUACGGGAGAAAGUGGGGGAUCUUCGGACCUCACGCUAUCAGAUGAGCCUAGGUACGAUUAGCUAGUUGGUGAGGUAAAGGCUCACCAAGGCGACGAUCGUUAACUGGUCUGAGAGGAUGAUCAGUCACACUGGAACUGAGACACGGUCCAGACUCCUACGGGAGGCAGCAGUGGGGAAUAUUGGACAAUGGGCGAAAGCCUGAUCCAGCCAUGCCGCGUGUGUGAAGAAGGUCUUCGGAUUGUAAAGCACUUUAAGUUGGGAGGAAGGGCAGUAAGUUAAUACCUUGCUGUUUUGACGUUACCGACAGAAUAAGCACCGGCUAACUUCGUGCCAGCAGCCGCAGUAACAC